AUCAUUUGUUACUUAUCUGUUUUAUUAUUGGAUGAUGAACCCCAUAAAUUAGGACAUUGGUUUUAGGGUUAUGAUGACAUCAUACCAGUGAGACCUAAAAUUCUAAAAUUCUAAUUUAGAAUAUUCCCAGUCAAAUUGGUAUAUUGAGUCGGGGAUCAAUAUUACUGGAAAGACUGGCACAUCUUAUAUAUGUAUGCUCAAUAUAGAGGGUGAUUGAUCUCACAAUCACUUGUGUGAGACACUAAUACAAAGAUGUGGGUGCUCAUUAGAGGAAUGAGUUCACUGAAAUGACUAGCCAUGAGAACAUCUUAUGGAUUCUUACUUAAUUAUUAAAAGAUGGUUCUCAUAGUGGGAGUUGUGCAAGUGAUCCUUAGACCUGAGAUCACCAUGGUACCUUAUGCACUUG
rnacentral:lncRNA from 1 species